GCUAUAUCUAAGAAAUCACCUCCAAAACCUCCACUAAGAAACUUACGUGUGAUAUGUAAAAAUAGAAUCCCUCAUAAUAUACAUAAAGGUGGUGAUGAGAAGACCAUGUUGGAGGCCAAGGAAUGUCUCUGGCAACUAAGACUUAACGCCUGUACUUUGCCAGAUAACUCAAAUGUAUACACCACAGCACCACAGCUGUCUUCCCAGGAACAAGUAGAAACAGCAAAUGCCCUAUCAUCAGACACAUCAAAUGUAUACUAUAAUGUUCCAGUACAGUUCUCCCAUGGACAAACAGAAACAGCGGAUUCUGCAACAU